GUCAAUCUUCUUCGCAAUUGCAGAAAAACCCUCACGAUCACGAAGGAUCAAAAUUAGUUUUCCAAAUAUCCUCCUUCACGUUCGCAUCCACCAAUUCGUGUUUGGGAUUCCCCAAGAUACUGAUACUCUGCAUUCGCGAUCACUACGCCAUAUCCAUGAAGGCUUAAUAUCCCCAGGCCCCCAACUCACCAUCGUUCUAAGCAUUCAUGACUACUUUUCGCGUACGCGAAGGGAACCUCAGGUU
rnacentral:lncRNA from 1 species